UACGAAGGGGGCUAGCGUUGCUCGGAUUUACUGGGCGUAAAGGGCGCGUAGGCGGACAGUUAAGUUGGGGGGUGAAAGCCCGGGGCUCAACCCUCGGAAUUGCCUUCGAUACUGUUAGUCUUGAGUCCGGGAGAGGUGAGUGGAAUUCCUAGUGUAGAGGUGAAAUUCGUAGAUAUUAGGAAGAACACCAGUGGCGAAGGCGGCUCACUGGCCCGGUACUGACGCUCAUGUGCGAAAGCGUGGGGGAGCAAACAGG
rnacentral:rRNA from 1 species